rnacentral:rRNA from 1 species
GAUGAACGCUGGCGGCGUGCCUAAUACAUGCAAGUCGAGCGAACAGAUGAGGAGCUUGCUCCUCUGACGUUAGCGGCGGACGGGUGAGUAACACGUGGAUAACCUACCUAUAAGACUGGGAUAACUUCGGGAAACCGGAGCUAAUACCGGAUAAUAUAUUGAACCGCAUGGUUCAAUAGUGAAAGACGGUUUUGCUGUCACUUAUAGAUGGAUCCGCGCCGCAUUAGCUAGUUGGUAAGGUAACGGCUUACCAAGGCAACGAUGCGUAGCCGACCUGAGAGGGUGAUAGGCAACACUGGAACUGAGACACGGUCCAGACUCCUACGGGAGGCAGCAGUAGGGAAUCUUCCGCAAUGGGCGAAAGCCUGACGGAGCAACGCCGCGUGAGUGAUGAAGGUCUUCGGAUCGUAAAACUCUGUUAUUAGGGAAGAACAAAUGUGUAAGUAACUAUGCACGUCUUGACGGUACCUAAUCAGAAAGCCACGGCUAACUACGUG